rnacentral:rRNA from 1 species
UACGUAGGGGGCAAGCGUUAUCCGGAUUUACUGGGUGUAAAGGGGGCGCAGACGGCGCGGCAAGUCCAGAGUGAAAUCCCAGGGCCCAACCCUGGGGCUGCUCUGGAAACUGCCGGGCUGGAGUGCUGGAGGGGCAGGCGGAAUUCCUAGUGUAGCGGUGAAAUGCGUAGAUAUUAGGAGGAACACCGGUGGCGAAGGCGGCCUGCUGGACAGCGACUGACGUUGAGGCCCGAAAGCGUGGGGAGCAAACAGG